rnacentral:misc_RNA from 1 species
GAUGAAGAACGCAGCGAAAUGCGAUAAGUAAUGUGAAUUGCAGAAUUCAGUGAAUCAUCGAAUCUUUGAACGCACAUUGCGCCCCCUGGUAUUCCGGGGGGCAUGCCUGUCCGAGCGUCAUUACAACCCUCAAGCUCAGCUUGGUGUUGGGCCCCGCCGCCCCGGCGGGCCCUAAAGUCAGUGGCGGUGCCGUCCGGCUCCGAGCGUAGUAAUUCUUCUCGCUCUGGAGGUCCGGUCGUGUGCUCGCCAGCAACCCCCAAUUUUUUUCAGGUUGACCUCGGAUCAGGUAGGGAUACCCGCUGAGCUUAAGAAUAUCAAUAAGCGGAGGA